rnacentral:misc_RNA from 1 species
UCUAGGGAUAUGAUGAGUGGGACACCGGUGAAAGCGUAAGCGAGUACCCAAGUACCUACCGCUAUCCUGGUUGAGCGCCGAAGCAAGCGCAAGUGCGUUUCGGUGAGGUCAAGAGUACUGCUCUCAAGACCGGUUGUGUCUUUCCAAUCACGAUUCAGGUGUUAACGGCGUCAGGCACUUUAUCAACCUCGCUACACGAUAACUCUGCUGAAAAGCAGGGCGGUUCACGAACCGCCCCUACAGAAAACGGCAGAUUAGUCGCGUCAAGGGGUUGACAAACGGUAAUCUAACCAUUAGAAUACCGAUACUGCUCGAAAGAAGUGGACGAGAGACAGACUAUAUGACGGUGGACGCGCAAACGGCAUAACAGCAAGACAUCCCCAAACGUGUCGCGUUGCGCGGCCCGAUGAGAUGUCGGGCCGUUUUCGUCUCUAGUCCCGGUCAAGGCUCGUCAGUCGAAGCAGUAAGCUCUUUAAAACACAAAGCCAGAAUUAUCCAAUGCUCAGGAUAUACAAGCAGACGGCGGUGAGCCGAAGCAAGUUUGUCAGUCCUGAGCAGGGGAUAAGCCUGCACGGUCGGGAGAAAACGGUGCCUGUCGUGAACAACAGGUAGCGAAGCUGACCAAGCACUUUAACAAGCGAAUAAGAAAGAAGAAAAGGGACGCGAGAAAUCACGAUUUCUCCGUAACACAUGUGGAGAAGCUACAAGGGCGUACGGUGAAUGCCUGUGGCGUCAAGUGCCGAAGAAGGACGCGGUACACUGCGAAAAGCUCCAGUGAGGUGUGUGCAACCGCAAGAACUGGAGAUCU